UACGUAGGGUGCAAGCGUUAAUCGGAAUUACUGGGCGUAAAGCGUGCGCAGGCGGCUUUGCAAGACAGAUGUGAAAUCCCCGGGCUCAACCUGGGAACUGCAUUUGUGACUGCAAGGCUAGAGUACGGUAGAGGGGGAUGGAAUUCCGCGUGUAGCAGUGAAAUGCGUAGAUAUGCGGAGGAACACCGAUGGCGAAGGCAAUCCCCUGGACCUGUACUGACGCUCAUGCACGAAAGCGUGGGGA
rnacentral:rRNA from 1 species